UGGGGAAUCUUGCGCAAUGGGCGAAAGCCUGACGCAGCGACGCCGCGUGGGUGAUGAAGGCCUUCGGGUUGUAAAGCCCUGUGGAGAGGGACGAAUAAGUUCGACCUAAUACGUCGGGCGAUGACGGUACCUCUUUAGCAAGCACCGGCUAACUCUGUGCCAGCAGCCGCGGUAAGACAGAGGGUGCAAACGUUGUUCGGAAUUACUGGGCGUAAAGCGCGUGUAGGCGGUCGUGCAAGUCGGGUGUGAAAGCCCAGGGCUCAACCCUGGAAGUGCAUUGGAUACUGCAUGGCUAGAGUCCCGGAGAGGAUGGUGGAACUCUCGGUGUAGAGGUGAAAUUCGUAGAUAUCGAGAAGAACACCGGUGGCGAAGGCGGCCAUCUGGACGGUGACUGACGCUGAGACGCGAAAGCGUGGGGAGCAAACA
rnacentral:rRNA from 1 species